GACGAACGCUGGCGGCGUGCUUAACACAUGCCAGUCGAGCGGAGCGGCGAACGGGUGAGUAACGCGUGAGUAACUGCCCCCCUCUCUGGGAUAACAGUUGGAAACGGCUGCUAAUGCCGGAUAGUGGGGGUUGACUCGCGUCUUAUUAGCUUGUUGGUGGGGUAGUGGCUUACCAAGGCGACGACGGGUAGCCGGCCUGAGAGGGCGACAGGCGAAAUUGGGCUGAGGUACGGCCCAGUAUCGUACGGGAGGCAGCAGUGGGGAAUAUUGCACAAUAGGGGAAACCCUGAUGCAGAAACGCCGCGUGCGGGAAGACGGCCUACGGGUAGUAAACCGCUGUCAGCCAGGACGAGGUAGUGGAAGAGGAAGCACCGGCUAACUACGUGCCAGCAGCCGCGGUAAUAC
rnacentral:rRNA from 1 species